GAUGAGAACGUAGCGAAAUGCGACAAGUAGUGUGAAUUGCAGAAUUCAGUGAAUCAUCGAAUCUUUGAACGCACAUUGCGCCCUUUGGUAUUCCUUAGGGCAUGCCUGUUCGAGCGUCAUUUAAACCUUCAAGCUCAGCUUGGUGUUGGGUGACUGUCCGCCGCCUCCGGGCGGUCGGACUCGCCUCAAAUUGAUUGGCGGCCGGUACUUUGGCUUCGAGCGCAGCAGAAACGCGAACUCGAGGCCGUCGUCCUGGCUCCCAGAAGCUAUCUUCACAAUUUUGACCUCGGAUCAGGUAGGGAUACCCGCUGAACUUAAGCAUAUCAAUAAGCGGAGGA
rnacentral:misc_RNA from 1 species